rnacentral:rRNA from 1 species
CACGUAGGGGCCAAGCGUUGUCCGGAUUUAUUGGGCGUAAAGAGCUCGUAGGCGGUUCAGCAAGUCGGGUGUGAAAACUCUGGGCUCAACCCAGAGACGCCACCCGAUACUGCUGUGACUAGAGUCCGGUAGGGGAGUGGGGAAUUCCCGGUGUAGCGGUGAAAUGCACAGAUAUCAGGAGGAACACCGGUGGCGAAGGCGCCACUCUGGGCCGGCACUGACGCUGAGGAGCGAAAGCGUGGGUAGCAAACAGG